rnacentral:rRNA from 1 species
GACGAACGCUGGCGGCGUGCUUAACACAUGCAAGUCGAACGGAAAGGCCCUGCGUUUGUGGCGUGCUCGAGUGGCGAACGGGGGAGUAACACGUGAGUAACCUGCCCUUGUCUUUGGGGUAACUUCAGGAAACUGGGGCUAAUACCGGAGAGGAGCUCCUGCUGCAUGGGGGGGGUUGGAAAGUGUCGGCUGCGGGGGAUGGACUGGCGGCUUACCAGCUUGUUGGUGGGGUAGGGGCUGACCAAGGCUUUGACGGGUAGCCGGCCUGAGAGGGUGACCGGGCACCUUGGGCCUGCGGUACGGCCCAGACUCCUACGGGCGGCAGCAGUGGGGAAUAUUGCACAAUGGGCGGAAGCCUGAUGCAGCAACGCCGCGUGCGGGAUGACGGCCUUCGGGUUGUAAACCGCUUUCGCCUGUGACGAAGCGUGCGUGACGGUAAUUGGUCAAGAAGCACCGGCUAACUACGUG